rnacentral:rRNA from 1 species
GAUGAACGCUGGCGGCGUGCUUAACACAUGCAAGUCGAACGAUGAAGCCCAGCUUGCUGGGUGGAUUAGUGGCGAACGGGUGAGUAACACGUGAGUAACCUGCCCUUGACUCUGGGAUAAGCCUGGGAAACUGGGUCUAAUACCGGAUACGACCAUUGCCCGCAUGGGUUGGUGGUGGAAAGCUUUUGUGGUUUUGGAUGGACUCGCGGCCUAUCAGCUUGUUGGUGAGGUAAUGGCCCACCAAGGCGACGACGGGUAGCCGGCCUGAGAGGGUGACCGGCCACACUGGGACUGAGACACGGCCCAGACUCCUACGGGAGGCAGCAGUGGGGAAUAUUGCACAAUGGGCGAAAGCCUGAUGCAGCGACGCCGCGUGAGGGAUGACGGCCUUCGGGUUGUAAACCUCUUUCAGUAGGGAAGAAGCGAGAGUGACGGUACCUGCAGAAGAAGCGCCGGCUAACUACGUG